UUNGAUGCUUUCCUCAAUGCUGCCUGUGU
rnacentral:piRNA from 1 species